GUAUUAUACGCUAGUGGUAUUAAACUGGAACAAUUAAAUACUAAAGUAACCUAUUGUCAUCAGAUACACCGUAUUCCAUCUGAAGAAGAAGUUAAGAGUCUCUGAAACUGACACGGACAUAUGAGACAAGUCAUAAAAAUGCAGAAAGCAAGAGAUAUAUCUAAGGAUAGACACAUAAAAUUAUAAAGAAUUUUGUCACUCUGUUCUUUUAGCAUACCACCAUUGUCCAAUCUAAACAACCCCGAAAUCAAGCGGUUCUGGCAAAUAAAGAUAAAUAGAUUGAUGAGCACGUACUAAAUUGAACUAUAAUGCUUGAUACAUAAAGACCAAAAUAUGGUUCUCAAAUGGAAGUAUGAAGAAAAGGUGAUGCACACGGAUUUCCACUUGUCUCCAAAAGGAAAGUUAAUGAAGAGAAAAGUCUGACCGCUAGAAAGAAAAGACAGUUUUACGUUAGAAAAUGAGCAAUAGAGUUGUUUUAUAAACUUAUUAACCAAAAUGACAUAUUAAAACUGUUAGGACUGUAAUAAAAUUAUCCGAGUCUAUUAUAUUGAUUACCAUAUUUUUUGUUACUAGUUAAAUAUUUAUAAAUCUGUUUUGAGUAAAAAAAAGCAUUGAAUACUUGUCGUUAUUCAUUUAUGUUAUGCUAGCUGCAUACCGCGGCUUUCCCUAUGUGAAUUAGGAUAAAAAUUAUAAUAAUAAUUUUUAUUUCUAUACGUUCAAUGUGUUAAACUUCAUGCAAAUACGUUCAGAUGUCUAAAUGUGAUAUUGAGUAAAAAUUUUAAUAUUUAAACAUCUUUAAUACUUUAUCCCGAACUUGCAUAUUUGUAAUACUAGUAGAUUGUAAGAUUAUCAGUGCUUUCUUUACUGCAACUGUGUAUUGUAACUUUAUUGAAUGUGUGUGUAACUCUAACGUCAAACUACUAAAUACGCUAAAUAUAAUAGGUUCGUAUUUAUAUCUUGACAGAUUUAGAAUAUACAAUUCUCGAAUAGAGAAAACAUUGAAUAAAAUAAAGGCAUACAACUUG